UAGGAAUUGGCGGGGGAGCACUACAAGGGGUGCGGCGUGCGGUUUAAUCUAACUCCACUCAGAGAAUCUCACCAGAAGCGACGGCAGGAUGAAAGUCAGAUUGAAGGUUUUACUUGACGAGCCGAGAGGUGGUGCAUGGCCGCCGUCAGCUCGUGCCGUGAGGUGUCCAGCUAAGCCUGGUAACGAGCGAGACCUGCGUCCACAAUUGCUAACGGGUGCUUUUGCAUGACUGCGCACAUUGUGGGGACUGCCCUGGAAACGGGGAGGAAGGUGCAGGCUACGGUAGGUCUGUAUGCCCCGAAUCUUCUGGGCUACACGCGCGCAACAAUGGUAAGGACAAUGGGCUACGACUCCGAAAAGGAGAAGUUAAUCCUCGAAACCUUAUCCAAGUCCAGAUUGAGGGUUGUAACCCACCCUCAUGACGAUGGAAUCCCUAGUAAUCGGGUUUUAUCAGAGCCCGGUGAAUACGUCCCUGCUCCUUGCACACACCG
rnacentral:rRNA from 1 species